rnacentral:rRNA from 1 species
AGAGUUUGAUCAUGGCUCAGGACGAACGCUGGCGGCGUGCUUAACACAUGCAAGUCGAACGAUGAAGCUGGAGCUUGCUCCGGCGGAUUAGUGGCGAACGGGUGAGUAACACGUGAGCAAUCUGCCCUUCACUCUGGGAUAACUGCGGGAAACUGUAGCUAAUACCGGAUACGAAGCCUUGGGGCAUCCCAGGGCUUGGAAAGAAUUUCGGUGAAGGAUGAGCUCGCGGCCUAUCAGCUAGUUGGUGAGGUAAUGGCUCACCAAGGCGACGACGGGUAGCCGGCCUGAGAGGGUGACCGGCCACACUGGGACUGAGACACGGCCCAGACUCCUACGGGAGGCAGCAGUGGGGAAUUUUGGACAAUGGGCGCAAGCCUGAUCCAGCCAUUCCGCGUGCAGGACGAAGGCCUUCGGGUUGUAAACUGCUUUUGUACAGAACGAAAAGCUCUGGGUUAAUACCCUGGGGUCAUGACGGUACUGUAAGAAUAAGCACCGGCUAACUACGUGCCAGCAGCCGCGGUAAU